AUAAUUUGGUUAUCUAUACUUAAAAGUAGAAAAUAGUUUGAAAUUUUUAAUAAAAAUAUAAAUUUUUUACACCCUUUUAAUACUCCUAUGAGAAAGUAGAAAUGUCAAUAGUGGAUUUAAACAAGUGUUGUAAUACAAUGAAUUAAAAUAUGAAAAUAAUGCUACAAAAGGUCAACGUCGACGUUCAAUCUUAAGUUAAGUGAAAGUCCAUGGUCAGUGCUACCGGAAAAUCGUGGAGAUAAUGUUUUGACUCAUAGCUACUUAUUUGAUGCUACACCUGAACCUAAAUGUGACAACUGCAAUUGCAAAUUGACUAUAAAACAAAUAAUCGCAGAAGAAGAAAUUUUAUGACCUAAAUACAACGCAACUAACCUCAAAAAUUACUCAGACCGAUCCAUGAUGUAAAGACUACAAGGUAUGUUCUUCCCGAGGGCUCAUUUUCCACUCGUUCUGCGCAUCUCUCAAGAGCCAAUGAGAAUUCAGUCCCGAAUUGGCGCAUCGUUUUGGGAGCUAAUUCUCAUUGGCUGCUUCCCAGCUGGUGCGCUAUAGCACACCUUGUAGUCUUUACAUCAUAGACAGAUCUCGAUCAUUAGCUUAAUACAACAAAUAUCUGUAGAUAAAAUAACAUUCAACUCGUAUUGUUAAAAAAAUUGAAUCGCUAAUAACCAGUAUUCGGUUGAUGCGAAUUUUGUAAUAAAAAACACACUUACAAUGGAAAAAAAAUUAUUCAUCUUCUAAUGGCGCCUUAAACUUUCAUAAAAAGAAGAAGAAAUGUGAAUAUCAAAUUAAAACUAGUGUUGUGGUGAAGUCAUAAAUUAAAAGAUGAAAUUAUUGUUACAAAAAUAAAAUAAAUCCAUUGAAAUAUAAUUAAAGUAGGAAAACAGUUUGAAAUUGUUAAUAAACAGAAGAUCCAAAAUUUUUCAACCUUUCUAAUGAUAAAAAAAGUGUUCGAUAUGGUAUUUUCAUGAUUAAUAUAAUGCUACAACAAUAAUUAGAUCCGCGAGAAGAAAAUAGUCUAAAAUUAUGGAAAAAAAGUCAAAAACUGUGCUCAAAACGUUCAUAAGAGUAAGAAAAAGUCAAUUGGAGAUUAAAACAAUCAUUUUCACGAUACUAAACAUGAAUUAAAAUUGAACUCAUGCCAAGAAAAUUGAGAAACAGCUACAUCCCUUUCCUCUAAAGCUGCCAACACGGGAUUCUCAUUUUCUUCAGAAAAUUGGAGGUUAAAGGAGAUUAUUAGAUUCAAAAACAAAUCAGGUAUCUGCUCUUCUAAAUCUGUAUCUGGAGGAUAUUCGAUGUUAUCAAGAAUGAAUGAAAGGAAUCUUUUUCCCAAAAAAUCUAAAAAAUAUUGAAUUGUUUUUAAAAAUAUUCUUUUUUAUUUCAUCAUGAUUUGAUGAUUACCAUUAUGAGUCACAGGCAUUGGUUCUCCCAUUGAAAAUACCAUUGUUAAUAGUAAAGACGAAUAAUUUAGUUUUGGAAUGUUUCUUGGAUUUGACAUGAUAUCCCUAGAAAAUAUUUUUAAUAAUAUAAUAACACAAAAAGAAUUUGAGAAGGAAAAAAAGACAAAUGAGGUGUGAAAUAAGGUGACUUGGGAACAGAAUAAAAACAUAUCCCCUUAAAGAGUCACAAUUAAAUCAGAUUAAAAAAUAUUGUAAAUGUGUUAAUAUAUUAUAAUGAGAAGAAAAACAUCAGAAGCUCAAAAAUAGCUACAAAGAUUAAAUAUGAAAGAAUACACAAUAAAUCGAAGUUCAAGGAUGUGGAUACUUGUGACAUCAUUAUUUUGCAAGAAAGGCUGCAAGAAGCUGAUUUUUCUCCAAAAUAACAUCCUAACCUUAAUUUCAGAGAAGUUGGAAAGACACACAAAAACAAAAAAGAAUAAAGUAACUAAAGAAACGGAAAUAAAUAGCUCAUUAGAAAGUUUGAAGGAAAUUUCCUUAUGAAAGUGUCAUCAAUUUUUCAGAAAUCUAAAAUCAAAAUCAUCAAGUUUCAGUAUAUAUAAUAAUAAUGUGAAAAUAUAAACUUUUCAGUAA